GUCAUCGAUGUUCAUUUGUCUUCUGGGACUCGGUUUGACUAGCCGAAAAUUAGUUACUGUUUUCCGUUCAUUUGUCUGGUGGUUGAGUUCGUCAGUCAUUGAAACAGUUGAGUCCUAAUUUUUGUAGUCGUACUACAAAGGAUUUUUCUCGGAUGCGAGAACUUACUUUAGCAUUCUGCAUGAAAUACAUUAUAGAUUCGUCCGCUGCAAGAUUAUGGUGCCCGAGUGUGGCCGAGAGGAAAGGGAACUCGAUCGGUGCGGUGCCGGAGCUCCUCGCGUGGGGCACAGGUGCCGAUGUGAGGGCUGUGUGCCGGGGGUGGCAGGGUAGAGGCACACAGUGUGAUACUGGCUGCCAGAAACCCUGCUGUCACAGCUGUGCUGGUGUGGCACGACACAGCAGAAACUGCCAGUGACUGUGUCCACAUACUGGACAUAGAGACCACCGCUGUGAACCACCUUGUCCGUUACGUGUCUGUCGUACAACUAUUGGCAGCUGCAGACAAAUAUAACCCCCAUCUCCUAAAGGAGCCUCGUAAAGACAGGACUCUCUGGAUGCGUGGAGGAUGGAAGAUUGGUGAGACGGGGUGGCUAGCUGCCCACAGAUUGUGGCAGAGGUGUUAGUUAGUGGAAGCAAAAAUCAGGCUUACGAGAACUUACUCAAACAAUGAAAAAUCCACGAUGGAAUGUAACAGUAUUACAAAAAGGAAAGUUGUUACUCACCAUAUAGCAGAGAUGCUGAGUCGCAGAGAGGAACAACAAAAAAAGAAAACUGUCACAAAGCUUUCGGCCAGUAAGGCCUUUGUCAAAAAACACACACACACACACACACACACAC